UCCUGAUGAACCAUUUUAGAUGACGAGUCUGAUCCUGUUGGGGCGAGGCUUCCUCGUCUUGACUGCUCAUGACGAUACACCAAAAUAUACCAUUCAUGCUUUUCUGACC
rnacentral:snoRNA from 1 species